rnacentral:rRNA from 1 species
GAUGAACGCUGGCGGCGUGCCUAAUACAUGCAAGUCGAGCGAACAGACGAGGAGCUUGCUCCUUUGACGUUAGCGGCGGACGGGUGAGUAACACGUAGGUAACCUACCUAUAAGACUGGGAUAACUUCGGGAAACCGGAGCUAAUACCGGAUAAUAUUUCGAACCGCAUGGUUCGAUAGUGAAAGAUGGCUUUGCUAUCACUUAUAGAUGGACCUGCGCCGUAUUAGCUAGUUGGUAAGGUAACGGCUUACCAAGGCAACGAUCCGUAGCCGACCUGAGAGGGUGAUCGGCCACACUGGAACUGAGACACGGUCCAGACUCCUACGGGAGGCAGCAGUAGGGAAUCUUCCGCAAUGGGCGAAAGCCUGACGGAGCAACGCCGCGUGAGUGAUGAAGGUCUUCGGAUCGUAAAGCUCUGUUAUUAGGGAAGAACAAACGUGUAAGUAACUGUGCACGUCUUGACGGUACCUAAUCAGAAAGCCACGGCUAACUACGUG